AGAGGGGGCAAGCGUUGUUCGGAAUUACUGGGCGUAAAGGGCGCGUAGGCGGCCUGCUAAGUCGAACGUGAAAUCCCUGGGCUCAACCCAGGAACUGCGUCCGAUACUGACAGGCUUGAAUCCGGGAGAGGGAUGCGGAAUUCCAGGUGUAGCGGUGAAAUGCGUAGAUAUCUGGAGGAACACCGGUGGCGAAGGCGGCAUCCUGGACCGGCAUUGGCGCUGAGGCGCGAAAGCUAGGGGAGCAAACGGGAUUAGAUACCCCGGUAGUCCUAGCCCUAAACGAUGAAUGCUUGGUAUGGCGGGUAUCGAUCCCUGCCGUGCCGAAGCUAACGCAUUAAGCAUUCCGCCUGGGGAGUACGGUCGCAAGGCUG
rnacentral:rRNA from 1 species